ACGUAGGGGGCAAGCGUUAUCCGGAUUUACUGGGUGUAAAGGGAGCGUAGACGGCACAGCAAGUCUGAAGUGAAAUCCCCGGGCUCAACCCGGGAACUGCUUUGGAAACUGUUGGGCUGGAGUGCUGGAGAGGCAAGCGGAAUUCCUAGUGUAGCGGUGAAAUGCGUAGAUAUUAGGAGGAACACCAGUGGCGAAGGCGGCUUGCUGGACAGUAACUGACGUUGAGGCUCGAAAGCGUGGGGAGCAAACAG
rnacentral:rRNA from 1 species